GAUGAACGCUGCGGCGUGCCUAAUACAUGCAAGUCGAGCGAACAGACGAGGAGCUUGCUCCUCUGACGUUAGCGGCGGACGGGUGGGUAACACGUGGAUAACCUACCUAUAAGACUGGGAUAACUUCGGGAAACCGGAGCUAAUACCGGAUAAUAUAUUGAACCGCAUGGUUCAAUAGUGAAAGACGGUUUUGCUGUCACUUAUAGAUGGAUCCGCGCCGCAUUAGCUAGUUGGUAAGGUAACGGCUUACCAAGGCGACGAUGCGUAGCCGACCUGAGAGGGUGAUCGGCCACACUGGAACUGAGACACGGUCCAGACUCCUACGGGAGGCAGCAGUAGGGAAUCUUCCGCAAUGGGCGAAAGCCUGACGGAGCAACGCCGCGUGAGUGAUGAAGGUCUUCGGAUCGUAAAACUCUGUUAUUAGGGAAGAACAAAUGUGUAAGUAACUAUGCACGUCUUGACGGUACCUAAUCAGAAAGCCACGGCUAACUACGUG
rnacentral:rRNA from 1 species